GGAUUUAAAGGGCCCGCUCGCCGCGCCGCCCUGGGAGCCGCUGCUGGUCCCGGCCUUGCGGCCUGCGGGGGAGGCUGCCCGGAGGAGGCAGCGGCGGCGGCAGCGCGUCCUCGGUCCCCAGGACCACGGCUUCUUUCCUGCCAGAGCGACUCUACCUUGGAAACCAGGGAUUCCCCUUCCCGUCGCCCGCCCCAUUUGAUAUAUGGGCCUGAAAUGUAUGCCAUCCCAUCACCAUCGGACUGGACUGUUCACAGCACUGGAGAGACAGAGGUCCUUCAUUCACUCCAGGUCACAGGCUGUGCGUGUGCAUGCCGAACACCCACAUGCACACAGUUGGUGGCUCAGUCUGAUGUACCUGACUUCUCACGCCUUCCCCCAGUACCAUGCCUCUACAUGGGUUGGGCAGCCCCAAACUGAAAUGUGAGUGCCAGAGUCCAUCCCUUAAGCGAGGUCUGCGCCACGGACACCCGCUCCCUCUGUGUCCCUGCUUUGACAGAUCUAUCCAUCUGGCCAUCCAUCCGUGGGGGUCCGCAAUGGCCACCUUCAGCCGCCAGGAAUUUUUCCAGCAGCUACUGCAAGGCUGUCUCCUGCCUACUGCCCAGCAGGGCCUUGACCAGAUCUGGCUGCUCCUUGCCAUCUGCCUCGCCUGCCGCCUCCUCUGGAGGCUCGGGUUGCCAUCCUACCUGAAGCAUGCAAGCACCGUGGCAGGCGGGUUCUUCAGCCUCUACCACUUCUUCCAGCUGCACAUGGUUUGGGUCGUGCUGCUCAGCCUCCUGUGCUACCUCGUGCUGUUCCUCUGCCGACAUUCCUCCCAUCGAGGCGUCUUCCUCUCCGUCACCAUCCUCAUCUACCUACUUAUGGGUGAGAUGCACAUGGUAGACACUGUGACAUGGCACAAGAUGCGAGGGGCACAGAUGAUUGUGGCCAUGAAGGCAGUGUCUCUGGGCUUCGACCUGGACCGGGGCGAGGUGGGUACGGUGCCCUCGCCAGUGGAGUUCAUGGGCUACCUCUACUUCGUGGGCACCAUCGUCUUCGGGCCCUGGAUAUCCUUCCACAGCUACCUACAAGCUGUCCAAGGCCGCCCACUGAGCUGCCGAUGGCUGCAGAAGGUGGCCCGGAGCCUGGCACUGGCCCUGCUGUGCCUUGUGCUGUCCACUUGCGUGGGCCCCUACCUCUUCCCGUACUUCAUCCCCCUUGAUGGUGACCGCCUCCUUCGCAACAAGAAACGCAAAGCCAGGGGCACCAUGGUAAGGUGGCUGCGAGCCUACGAGAGUGCUGUCUCCUUCCACUUCAGCAACUAUUUUGUGGGCUUUCUUUCCGAGGCCACAGCCACGUUGGCAGGGGCUGGCUUUACCGAGGAGAAGGAUCACCUGGAAUGGGACCUGACGGUGUCCAAGCCACUGAAUGUGGAGCUGCCUCGGUCAAUGGUGGAAGUUGUCACAAGCUGGAACCUGCCCAUGUCUUAUUGGCUAAAUAACUGUGAGUCACCAAGUCACCACUCCAGCUGUGUUGGUAAUCCAGGCCCUUUCAUACAUUCAUACAACAUUUACUGAGCACCUUCCGUGUGCUCGGCACCCAAAAUCCCUACCCUUGUCGAGCUGCAGUUCUCCUGGGGGGCAGAUGAUAAAUAUGAGAAAAAAAAUACAUAAUAGCUCAGGUGUUGAUAAGCGCUAUGGUUAAAAAAAAUUAAAAAAUAAAAAAAAAAAGGCAGGUAAAGGUGAUCCAAGAGUGCUGGCAGGAGAUAGGAGUGGGGAGGGUAGGGUAUUGCAAUUGUAAAAAAAUUAGCCAGGGCAAGUCUCCCUGAGGAGGUGACAUUGGAGCAAAGAUGCAAGGCAGGUGACGGAGCAGGGAGUGCAGAUAUAUGGGGGAGGAGUGUAACAGAUGCGAGAACAGCAGGUGCAAACUUCCUGAGGAGGGAACUUGCCUGGUACGUGGGGAACAGCAAGAAGGCCAGCGGGGCAGGAGCAGAGUGAGCCAGGGGCCAGUGGCAGGUGGUGAGGUCAGGGAGGGCCCAGAGGGCCUCAUGGGCCAUGGAGAGAACUUUGGCUUUUUCUCUGAGAGAGAUGAGAGCCACAGCAGGGCUCCGAGCUGAGGAGGGCUCAGGGCUGACUCAAGUUGCAACAGGAUCCCUCUGGCUGCUGUGAAGACAGACUGAGUAGAGGGAGCGAGGAUGCAGCAGUGAAGAGGCCACUGCCAUCAUCCAGGCCAGUGAUGGUGGUGGUGGCAGUGGAUGUGGAGAGGAGAGCUCAGAUUCUGGCAUAUUCUGAAGGUGGAACUCACACGAUUUGCUGAAUUUGGAUGUGGGAGUUUGGGGAGGGCAAAUCAAGGGUAAUUCCCAGGUUUUUGCCCCGAGGAACUGGAAGGGUGGAGUUGACAUUGACUGAACUUGAUGAGACUGGGAGGAGCAGGCUGGGGGAAGAUCGGGAGCUGGGCUUUGGGCAUGUGAAGUUUGAGGCCAUCUAAGGACUUUAUCGUGGGGGCUCCAACAGGCUGUGGGUAUUCUCAUCCUGCUGAUGGCCCUCCAGGAGAGGCUGGGGGACUCUCAGGAGAAUUUUAUCCCACAUCUCUUCCCCUCCAGAUGUUUUCAAGAAUGCUCUCCGCCUGGGGACCUUCUCGGCUGUGCUGGUCACCUAUGCAGCCAGCGCCCUCCUACAUGGCUUCAGUUUCCACCUGGCUGC